rnacentral:rRNA from 1 species
UACGUAGGUGGCGAGCGUUAUCCGGAAUCAUUGGGCGUAAAGAGGGAGCAGGCGGCAGUGCAGGUCUGCGGUGAAAGCCCGAAGCUAAACUUCGGUAAGCCGUGGAAACCGCACAGCUAGAGAGCAUCAGAGGAUCGCGGAAUUCCAUGUGUAGCGGUGAAAUGCGUAGAUAUCUGGAGGAACACCGGUGGCGAAGGCGGCAUCCUGGACCGAGAUUGACGCUGAUGCGCGAAAGCCAGGGGAGCAAACGGG